rnacentral:rRNA from 1 species
UGGGGAAUAUUGCACAAUGGGCGCAAGCCUGAUGCAGCCAUGCCGCGUGUAUGAAGAAGGCCUUCGGGUUGUAAAGUACUUUCAGCGGGGAGGAAGGCGAUAAGGUUAAUAACCUUGUCGAUUGACGUUACCCGCAGAAGAAGCACCGGCUAACUCCGUGCCAGCAGCCGCGGUAAUACGGAGGGUGCAAGCGUUCAUCGGAAUUACUGGGCGUAAAGCGCACGCAGGCGGUCUGUCAAGUCGGAUGUGAAAGCCCCGGGCUCAACCUGGGAACUGCAUUCGAAACUGGCAGGCUAGAGUCUUGUAGAGGGGGGUAGAAUUCCAGGUGUAGCGGUGAAAUGCGUAGAGAUCUGGAGGAAUACCGGUGGCGAAGGCGGCCCCCUGGACAAAGACUGACGCUCAGGUGCGAAAGCGUGGGGAGCAAACA